UACGUAGGGUGCAAGCGUUGUCCGGAAUUAUUGGGCGUAAAGAGCUCGUAGGCGGUUUGUUGCGUCGGCUGUGAAAUCCCGAGGCUCAACCUCGGGUCUGCAGUCGAUACGAGCAAACUAGAGUGUUGCAGGGGAGACUGGAAUUCCUGGUGUAGCGGUGAAAUGCGCAGAUAUCAGGAGGAACACCGGUGGCGAAGGCGGCGACCUGGGAAGAUACUGACGCUGAGGUGCGAAAGCGUGGGGAGCAAACAGG
rnacentral:rRNA from 1 species